rnacentral:lncRNA from 1 species
AUGGAAAAGAAAUGCAAAAAAGCAAAAUGGCUGUCUGAGGAGGCCUUACAAAUAGCUGUGAAAAGAAGAGAGGCAAAAAGCAAAGGAGAAAAGGAAAGAUAUAAGCAUCUGAAUGCAGAGUUCCAAAGAAUAGCAAGAAGAGAUAAGAAAGCCUUCUUCAGCGAUCAAUGCAAAGUAGAGGAAAACAACAGAAUGGGAAAGACUAGAGAUCUGUUCAAGAAAAUUAGAGAUACCAAGGGAACAUUUCAUGCAAAGAUGGGCUCGAUAAAGGACAGAAAUGGUAUGGACCUAACAGAAGCAGAAGAUAUUAAGAAGAGGUGGCAAGAAUACACAGAAGAGCUGUACAAAAAAGAUCUUCACGACCCAGAUAAUCAUGAUAAUGUGAUCAUUAAUCUAGAGCCAGACAUCUUGGAAUGUGAAGUCAAGUGGGCCUUAGAAAGCAUCACUGCGAACAAAGCUAGUGGAGGUGACGGAAUUCCAGUGGAGCUGUUUCAAAUCCUGAAAGAUGAUGCUGUGAAAGUGCUGCACUCAAUAUGCCAGCAAAUUUGGAAAACUCAGCAGUGGCCACAGGACUGGAAAAGGUCAGUUUCCAUUCCAAUGCCAAAGAAAGGCAAUGCCAAAGAAUGCUCAAACUACUGCACAAUUGCACUCAUCUCACAUGCUAGUAAAGUAAUGCUCAAAAUUCUCCAAGCCAGGCUUCAGCAAUAUGUGGACCGUGAACUUCCAGAUAUUCAAGCUGGUUUUAGAAAAGGCAGAGGAACCAGAGGUCAAAUUGCCAUCAUCUGCUGGAUCAUGGAAAAAGCAAGAGAGUUCCAGAAAAACAUCUAUUUUUGCUUUAUUGACUCUGCCAAAGCCUUUGACUGUGUGGAUCACAAUAAACUGUGGAAAAUUCUGAAAGAGAUGGGAAUACCAGACCACCUAACCUGCCUCUUGAGAAAUCUGUAUGCAGGUCAGGAAGCAACAGUUAGAACUGGACAUGGAACAACAGACUGGUUCCAAAUAGGAAAAGGAGUACAUCAAGGCUGUAUAUUGUCACCCUGCUUAUUUAACUUAUAUGCAGAGUACAUCAUGAGAAACGCUGGACUGGAAGAAACACAAGCUGGAAUCAAGACUGCCGGGAGAAAUAUCAAUAACCUCAGAUAUGCAGAUGACACCACUCCUAUGGCAGAAAGUGAAGAGGAGCUAAAAAGCCUCUUAAUGAAAGUGAGAGAGAGUGAAAAAGUUGGCUUAAAGCUCAACAUUCAGAAAACGAAGAUCAUGGCAUCCGGUCCCAUCACUUCAUGGGAAAUAGAUGGGGAAACAGUGGAAACAGUGUCAGACUUUGUUUUUCUGGGCUCCAAAAUCACUGCAGAUGGUGACUGCAGCCAUGAAAUUAAAAGACACUUACUCCUUGGAAGAAAAGUUAUGAUCAACCUAGAUAGUAUAUUCAAAAGCGGAGACAUUACUUUGCCUACUAAGGUCCGUCUAGUCAAGGCUAUGGUUUUUCCUGUGGUCAUGUAUGGAUGUGAGAGUUGGACUGUGAAGAAGGCUGAGUGCUGA